CAUAUUACCGAAGCUGUGGAUUGUCCUUUGGACAAUGGUAGGAGAGCGUUCUAAGGGCGUUGAAGCAUGAUCGUAAGGACAUGUGGAGCGCUUAGAAGUGAGAAUGCCGGUGUGAGUAGCGAAAGACGGGUGAGAAUCCCGUCCACCGAUUGACUAAGGUUUCCAGAGGAAGGCUCGUCCGCUCUGGGUUAGUCGGGUCCUAAGCUGAGGCCGACAGGCGUAGGCGAUGGAUAACAGGUUGAUAUUCCUGUACCACCUAUAAUCGUUUUAAUCGAUGGG
rnacentral:rRNA from 1 species